rnacentral:rRNA from 1 species
GACGAACGCUGGCGGCGUGCCUAAUACAUGCAAGUCGAGCGAAUCGACAGGUGCUUGCACCUGUUGGUUAGCGGCGGACGGGUGAGUAACACGUGGGCAACCUGCCUGUAAGACUGGGAUAACUUCGGGAAACCGGAGCUAAUACCGGAUAAUCCUUUUCCUCUCAUGAGGAAAAGCUGAAAGUCGGUUUACGCUGACACUUACAGAUGGGCCCGCGGCGCAUUAGCUAGCUGGUGAGGUAACGGCUCACCAAGGCAACGAUACAUAGCCGACCUGGGAGGUUGAUCGGCGACUCUGGGAGUGAGACACGCCCCAGACUCCUCCGGGAGGCAGCAGUAGGGAACCUUCCGCAAUGGACGAGAGUCUGACGGAGCAACGCCGCGUGAGUGAAGAAGGUUUUCGGAUCGUAAAACUCUGUUGUAAGGGAAGAACAAGUACGUUAGUAACUGAACGUACCUUGACGGUACCUUACCAGAAAGCCACGGCUAACUACGUGCCAGCCGCCGCAGUAACAC